GCAGCCGCGGUAAUACGUAGGGGGCAAGCGUUAUCCGGAUUUACUGGGUGUAAAGGGAGCGUAGGCGGCGAAGCAAGUCAGAUGUGAAAGCCCGGGGCUCAACCCCGGGACUGCAUUUGAAACUGUUUUGCUAGAGUAUCGGAGAGGUAAGUGGAAUUCCUAGUGUAGCGGUGAAAUGCGUAGAUAUUAGGAGGAACACCAGUGGCGAAGGCGGCUUACUGGACGAUAACUGACGCUGAGGCUCGAAAGCGUGGGGAGCAAACAGGAUUAGAUACCCC
rnacentral:rRNA from 1 species